UACGAAGGGGGCUAGCGUUGUUCGGAAUCACUGGGCGUAAAGCGCACGUAGGCGGAUCUUUAAGUCAGGGGUGAAAUCCCGAGGCUCAACCUCGGAACUGCCUUUGAUACUGGCGAUCUAGAGUCCGGGAGAGGUGAGUGGAACUCCUAGUGUAGAGGUGAAAUUCGUAGAUAUUAGGAAGAACACCAGUGGCGAAGGCGGCUCACUGGCCCGGUACUGACGCUGAUGUGCGAAAGCGUGGGGAGCAAACAGG
rnacentral:rRNA from 1 species